rnacentral:rRNA from 1 species
UACGAAGGGGGCUAGCGUUGCUCGGAAUUACUGGGCGUAAAGCGCACGUAGGCGGAUUGUUAAGUCGGGGGUGAAAUCCUGGAGCUCAACUCCAGAACUGCCUUCGAUACUGGCGAUCUCGAGUUCGGGAGAGGUGAGUGGAACUGCGAGUGAGAGGUGAAAUUCGUAGAUAUUCGCAAGAACACCAGUGGCGAAGGCGGCUCACUGGCCCGAUACUGACGCUGAGGUGCGGAAAGCGUGGGGAGCAA